AGAAUCUACAUUGAGGGUCACAGUGAGCCUCUGAAGCAAGCAUGAUCCACCAUGAAGUGCAUGACCCACUGAAGCAAGAAAAGGCUAGUCUGGCCUGAAAAUGAUACCCCAAAUGGGACAUAAACAAGGAACACAGCAUUUUUACCCUAAAAUGGAACCACAGUCCUAACAAAGGGCGUUUCUAAGAACAGUGGAUAACACGGGCCAGAGAAAAAGCAUGAACAACUUACAAGUUUAGCACGGUUACCUCCAAUGGAAAAUAGAAGAGAUCCUAUAAUCUCAGUAUGAAGACUCUGCAAAGGAGUAAUGUUGAAUAAUGAUCAAUUUUCAUCUUACAAUGGGUCAAACCAUCCCCUACUUCAUUAAAAGUCAUCUGGAGGGACUUUGAGGCAAAAACUUUGUAUAAAGACUAUCAAAGGAUUCUCCAGGAUGGAAAAGAAAGGUGACAAACCUGGGGAGACAUGGCUGGGGAAGACUCUCAUAUUCUGAGACAUUUGAACCAGAUUUGCACUAUCUGUAGAACUGGAGAUACUUCAU